CAACACCCGAAGUCGGUGAGGUAACCGCAAGGAGCCAGCCGCCGAAGGUGGGGUAGAUGAUUGGGGUGAAGUCGUAACAAGGUAGCCGUAUCGGAAGGUGCGGCUGGAUCACCUCCUUUCUAUGGAGA
rnacentral:rRNA from 1 species